rnacentral:rRNA from 1 species
UGCGGAGGGGGCGAGCGUUGUCCGAAGUUACUGGGCGUAAAGCGCGUGUAGGCGGUCCGGUAAGUCCGCUGUGAAAGUCGGGGGCUCAACCCUCGGAUGCCGGUGGAUACUGUCGGGCUUGAGUACGGAAGAGGCGAGUGGAAUUCCGGGUGUAGCGGUGGAAUGCGUAGAGAUCCGGAAGAACACCGGUGGCGAAGGCGGCCCGCUGGGCAGUAGCUGACGCUGAGGCGCGACAGCGUGGGGAGCAAACAGG